CGGAGGAUCCAAGCGUUAUCCGGAAUCAUUGGGUUUAAAGGGUCCGUAGGCGGUCCUGUAAGUCAGUGGUGAAAGCCCAUCGCUCAACGGUGGAACGGCCAUUGAUACUGCAGGACUUGAAUUACUGGGAAGCAACUAGAAUAUGUAGUGUAGCGGUGAAAUGCUUAGAGAUUACAUGGAAUACCAAUUGCGAAGGCAGGUUGCUACCGGUGGAUUGACGCUGAUGGACGAAAGCGUGGGUAGCGAACAGGAUUAGAUACCCUGGUAGUCCACGCCGUAAACGAUGGAUACUAGCUGUUGGGAGCGAUCUCAGUGGCUAAGCGAAAGUGUUAAGUAUUCCACCUGGGGAGUACGCCCGCAAGGGUG
rnacentral:rRNA from 1 species